AUAUCAAUAAGCGGAGGAAAAGAAACCAACAGGGAUUGCCUUAGUAGCGGCGAGUGAAGCGGCAAAAGCUCAAAUUUGAAAUCUGGCACCUUCGGUGUCCGAGUUGUAAUUUGAAGAUUGUAACCUUGGGGUUGGCUCUUGUCUAUGUUUCUUGGAACAGGACGUCACAGAGGGUGAGAAUCCCGUGCGAUGAGAUGCCCAAUCCUAUGUAAGGUGCUUUCGAAGAGUCGAGUUGUUUGGGAAUGCAGCUCUAAGUGGGUGGUAAAUUCCAUCUAAAGCUAAAUAUUGGCGAGAGACCGAUAGCGAACAAGUACAGUGAUGGAAAGAUGAAAAGAACUUUGAAAAGAGAGUGAAAAAGUACGUGAAAUUGUUGAAAGGGAAGGGUUUGAGAUCAGACUCGAUAUUUUGUGAGCCUUGCCUUCGUGGCGGGGUGACCCGCAGCUUAUCGGGCCAGCAUCGGUUUGGGCGGUAGGAUAAUGGCGUAGGAAUGUGACUUUGCUUCGGUGAAGUGUUAUAGCCUGCGUUGAUGCUGCCUGCCUAGACCGAGGACUGCGAUUUUAUCAAGGAUGCUGGCAUAAUG
rnacentral:rRNA from 1 species